rnacentral:piRNA from 1 species
AGAAACCAGAAUAGCAGCC